rnacentral:rRNA from 1 species
CACUCCUACGGGAGGCAGCAGUGGGGAAUUUUGGACAAUGGGCGAAAGCCUGAUCCAGCCAUGCCGCGUGCAGGAUGAAGGCCUUCGGGUUGUAAACUGCUUUUGUACGGAACGAAACGGCCUUUUCUAAUAAAGAGGGCUAAUGACGGUACCGUAAGAAUAAGCACCGGCUAACUACGUGCCAGCAGCCGCGGUAAUACGUAGGGUGCAAGCGUUAAUCGGAAUUACUGGGCGUAAAGCGUGCGCAGGCGGUUAUGUAAGACAGUUGUGAAAUCCCCGGGCUCAACCUGGGAACUGCAUCUGUGACUGCAUAGCUAGAGUACGGUAGAGGGGGAUGGAAUUCCGCGUGUAGCAGUGAAAUGCGUAGAUAUGCGGAGGAACACCGAUGGCGAAGGCAAUCCCCUGGACCUGUACUGACGCUCAUGCACGAAAGCGUGGGGAGCAAACAGGAUUAGAUACCCCUGUAGUCCCAUG